rnacentral:misc_RNA from 1 species
AAGUCGUAACAAGGUCUCCGUAGGUGAACCUGCGGAGGGAUCAUUACAAGAACGCCCGGGCUUCGGCCUGGUUAUUCAUAACCCUUUUGUUGUCCGACUCUGUUGCCUCCGGGGGCGACCCUGCCUUCGGGCGGGGGGCUCCGGGUGGACACUUCAAACUCUUGCGUAACUUUGCAGUCUGAGUAAACUUAAUUAAUAAAUUAAAAC